UUAUGGCCACAUCACGUUGAACCACCGGUCCCCGUAAGAUCAUUAAAGUUAAGCAACGUCGAGUCUGCUCAGUACCUAGAAGGGUGAUAGCUUGGGAAUACCAGGUGUUGUAA